UUCACCAAAAUGUUCAUUACAAAAUCAGGUGAUUGCUGACCAAUCACCUCUCAUCUCCUACUUCUACUCACAUACAUACAUUUCCUGGCUAUCUAUAAGUACAUCAAGGAUAAGUAUUCAGCUUCUAUAUAUUCAUCAUGAAUAAGAAGAUUGUAGAUGUACCCACCAUGGAUGAAAAAUUGUAGGUGUACCUAAGGAAGUUGAAGUUUCCACAAAUCUUAUGCACAUAAAUUUCUCCAAAAUACAAAAUGAAUAUUUUGAGAAAUUAGCAAGUACAAUUGAGAAUCGAAAGACACAAAGGAAAUUUAUCAGACCAUUUAUAUAAAGAAUGAUUCCAAAUAUAUUUGUAUGUGCACAAAUAUUAUUAUAUUAUCUUUAUUUAUCUAAAAAUAUAUUUCUCUA